GAGUUAACCCUCUAAGACUUAAGCAUGCCUGAAGGCACGUAUUUUUUUUGAGGUUAAAAAAUAAAAUUACAGCUUUUCAAUUGUUUAAGAGCUUCGGAGCUCUUCAAAGAUGAGACUAAUAAUUUUAUGUGCCUUUUACCAACCGCCAAAAAUUAUUUAAACGAUUGAAAAGUUCUUAAUUUAUUUGUUACGGCCAAAAACGUGAUACGUGCCUUCAGGCAGCUUUGGCUUAGAGGGUUAAGAGUAAGAAAACCGCAAAUAUAUUUUUUUUUUCAAUUUUUUGGCCGUCUGACUCGGUGUAACCCCCUAAGUUUCUCGGGCCUUUGUUUUCGUGGCUUGGAACCACGAUCAAGGAAUCAUUCGAACUCGCGCUGCUUACUGGAAACGACGUAUCUGGAGAAGCGCAUUAAAUGUUGAAUACUUUUAACCAACGAGUCUAAAAUGAUUACCUAUCAGGAGAAUAAAGUAUUAUUUUGGUCUGUGAACGUGAUCGUUAUAUCGGCGUUAAUCAUCCUUCUUCUUUAUCUACUUCACCUGAAUAAUAUAAUGUAACCAACAACAAAAAAGCUCUGCGAUUGCCUCAGCGCCAAUAUCAAUUUCGCAACAUUACACAAUCGAUUAUUGCAACUAUGUAUACCUGAUGCAUUUUAUACUCAAUUGACUGGCUCUGCGUGGGAAUAUGAUCGCGUUACAGAUAAAUAAAUAAAAAUGAUAAAAAGAAAA